GGCGCCUUAGCUCAGUUGGUUAGAGCGCACGCCUAGUAAGCGUGAGGUCGUGGGUUCAAAUCCCACAGGUGCCU